GACGAACGCUGGCGGCGUGCUUAACACAUGCAAGUCGAACGGAAAGGCCCUGCUUUUGUGGGGUGCUCGAGUGGCGAACGGGUGAGUAACACGUGAGUAACCUGCCCUUGACUUUGGGAUAACUUCAGGAAACUGGGGCUAAUACCGGAUAGGAGCUCCUGCUGCAUGGUGGGGGUUGGAAAGUUUCGGCGGUUGGGGAUGGACUCGCGGCUUAUCAGCUUGUUGGUGGGGUAGUGGCUUACCCAGGCUUUGACGGGUAGCCGGCCUGAGAGGGUGACCGGCCACAUUGGGACUGAGAUACGGCCCAGACUCCUACGGGAGGCAGCAGUGGGGAAUAUUGCACAAUGGGCGGAAGCCUGAUGCAGAAACGCCGCGUGCGGGAUGACGGCCUUCGGGGUGUAAACCGCUUUCGCCUGUGACGAAGCGUGAGUGACGGUAAUGGGUAAAGAAGCACCGGCUAACUACGUG
rnacentral:rRNA from 1 species